CUACUGACCUGGCAGGGUGGAUACCAUGAUCAAGAAGGUGGUUGUCUCAAGGCACAGCUUUGUGCUCCAGAUGACUGCACAGUCUGUGAUAGUGGGGAAUUGUAUUUGUGCAGAG
rnacentral:snRNA from 1 species